UACGUAGGUGGCAAGCGUUGUUCGGAAUUAUUGGGCGUAAAGGGCGCGUAGGCGGUUUGUUAAGUCGGCUGUGAAAGCCCGGGGCUCAACCCCGGAGGGUCAGCCGAUACUGGCAGACUAGAGUACGGAAGAGGCGAGUGGAAUUCCUGGUGUAGCGGUGGAAUGCGCAGAUAUCAGGAGGAACACCAAUAGCGAAGGCAGCUCGCUGGGACGGUACUGACGCUGAGGCGCGAAAGCGUGGGGAGCGAACAGG
rnacentral:rRNA from 1 species